rnacentral:rRNA from 1 species
UACGUAGGCAGCGAGCGUUGUUCGGAGUUACUGGGCGUAAAGAGCGUGUAGGCGGCCCGGUAAGUCCGCUGUGAAAGUCGGGGGCUCAACCCUCGAAUGCCGGUGGAUACUGUCGGGCUAGGAGUGCGGGAGAGGCGAGUGGAAUUCCUGGUGUAGCGGUGAAAUGCGCAGAUAUCGGGAAGAACACCCGUGGCGAAGGCGGUUCUCUGGGACGGUACUGACGCUGAGACGCGAAAGCGUGGGGAGCGAACAGG